rnacentral:rRNA from 1 species
GCCGGCGACAAGUCGGAGGAAGUGGGGAUGACGUCAAAUCGAUCAUGCCCCUUAUGACCUGGGCUACACACGUGCUACAAUGGGCGGUACAAAGGGCUGCGAACCCGCGAGGGGGAGCGAAUCCCAAAAAGCCGGCUCUCAGUUCGGAAUUGCAGGCUGCAACUCGCCUGCAUGAAGCCGGAAUCGCUAGUAAUCGCGGAUCAGCAUGCCGCGGUGAAUACGUUCCCGGGCCUU